rnacentral:rRNA from 1 species
AUUGAACGCUGGCGGCAUGCCUAACACAUGCAAGUCGAGCGGAUGAAGGGAGCUUGCUCCUGUAUUCAGCUGCGGACGGGUGAGUAAUUCCUAGGAAUCUGCCUGGUAGUUGGGGAUAACGUCCGUAAACGGGCGCUAAUACCGCAUCCGUCCUUAGGGAGAAAGUGGUGGAUCUUCGGACCUCACGCUAUCAGAUGAGCCUAGGUCGGAUUAGCUAGUUGGUGGGGUAAAGGCCUACCAAGGCGACGAUCCGUAACUGGUCUGAGAGGAUGAUCAGUCACGCUGGAACUGAGACACGGUCCAGACUCCUACGGGAGGCAGCAGUGGGGAAUAUUGGACAAUGGGCGAAAGCCUGAUCCAGCAAUGCCGCGUGUGCGAAGAAGGUCUUCGGAUUGUAAAGCACUUUAAGUUGGGAGGAAGGGCAGUAAGUUAAUACCUUGCUGUUUUGACGUUACCAAAAGAAUAAGCACCGGCUAACUUCGUG